rnacentral:piRNA from 1 species
UCAGUGCCCUUUUUCUUUACAGUAAGC